AUUGAACGCUGGCGGCAGGCCUAACACAUGCAAGUCGAGCGGUUGAUGGGAGCUUGCUCCCUGAUUCAGCGGCGGACGGGUGAGUAAUGCCUAGGAAUCUGCCUAUUAGUGGGGGACAACGUUUCGAAGGGAACGCUAAUACCGCAUACGUCCUACGGGAGAAAGCAGGGGACCUUCGGGCCUUGCGCUAAUAGAUGAGCCUAGGUCGGAUUAGCUUGUUGGUGAGGUAAUGGCUCACCAAGGCGACGACCCGUAACUGGUCUGAGAGGAUGAUCAGUCACACUGGAACUGAGACACGGUCCAGACUCCUACGGGAGGCAGCAGUGGGGAAUAUUGGACAAUGGGCGAAAGCCUGAUCCAGCCAUGCCGCGUGUGUGAAGAAGGUCUUCGGAUUGUAAAGCACUUUAAGUUGGGAGGAAGGGUUGUAGAUUAAUACUCUGCAAUUUUGACGUUACCGACAGAAUAAGCACCGGCUAACUCUGUGCCAGCAGCCGCGGUAAUAC
rnacentral:rRNA from 1 species